UUUCUUAUUUUCUUCGAUCUU
rnacentral:piRNA from 1 species